rnacentral:rRNA from 1 species
CGCCUUGCCAGCCCGCUCAGAAACUUAAAGGAAUUGAGGGGGCCCGCACAAGCGCGGAGCAUGUGGAUUAAUUCGAUGCAACGCGAAGAACCUUACCUGGGUUUGACAUACACCGGAAAACCGUAGAGAUACGGUCCCCCUUGUGGUCGGUGUACAGGUGGUGCAUGGCUGUCGUCAGCUCGUGUCGUGAGAUGUUGGGUUAAGUCCCGCAACGAGCGCAACCCUUGUCUUAUGUUGCCAGCACGUGAUGGUGGGGACUCGUAAGAGACUGCCGGGGUCAACUCGGAGGAAGGUGGGGACGACGUCAAGUCAUCAUGCCCCUUAUGUCCAGGGCUUCACACAUGCUACAAUGGCCAGUACAGAGGGCUGCGAGACCGUGAGGUGGAGCGAAUCCCUUAAAGCUGGUCUCAGUUCGGAUCGGGGUCUGCAACUCGACUGCGUGAAGUCGGAAUCGCUAGUAAUCGUGAAUCAGAAUGUCACGGUGAAUACGUUCCCGGGCCUU